rnacentral:ncRNA from 2 species
CUUCACGAGACAUGGCCUCCGCGCCCGCAGGGUGUGGAAAAGCUCCGACUGGCCAUGCACCAACCCCAAUGUUCGGCGGGUGGUUCGGAUGACGAAGCGGCCCGCGUCCAACCGGAGCGGGCAAGGACACUCA